CAGCAGCCGCGGUAAUACGAAGGGCCCGAGCGUUGCGCGGAAUCAUUGGGCUUAAAGCGUACGUAGGCGGGCACGCAAGCACCUUGUGAAACCCCUCGGCUCAACCGAGGAACUGCUUGGUGAACUGCGUGUCUUGAGGUAAGUAGGGGCUGUCGGAACGAUAGGUGGAGCGGUGAAAUGCGUUGAUAUCUAUCGGAACGCCGAAGGUGAAGACAGGCAGCUGGGCUUAUUCUGACGCUGAGGUACGAAAGCGUGGGGAGCGAACGGGAUUAGAUACCCCGGUAGUCCACGCCGUAAACGAUGUGCAUUAGAUCGAGGGGGUUCUGACGCCAUUCUCGGUCGAAGCAAAAGUGUUAAGUGCACCGCCUGGGGAGUACGGUCGCAAGGCUAAAACUCAAAGGAAUUGACGGGGGCUCACACAAGCGGUGGAGCAUGUGGCUUAAUUCGAAGCAACGCGAAGAACCUUAUCCUGGGUUUGACAUGCAAGGAUUAGUUCCCCGAAAGGGGAGUGACACCCUCGGGUGGAACUUGCACAGGUGCUGCAUGGCUGUCGUCAGCUCGUGCCGUGAGGUGUUAGGUUAAGUCCUUUAACGAGCGAAACCCCUGUCGUUAGUUGCCAACGCGUUAUGGCGGGGACUCUAACGAGACUGCCGGCGUCAAGUCGGAGGAAGGUGGGGAUGACGUCAAGUCCGCAUGGCCUUUAUGCCCAGGGCUGCACACGUGCUACAAUGGCCGGUACAGAGCGACGCAAUACCGCGAGGUGGAGCAAAUCGCGAAAACCGGCCCCAGUUCAGAUUGCAGGCUGCAAUUCGCCUGCAUGAAGUUGGAGUCGCUAGUAAUCGCGGAUCAGCACGCCGCGGUGAAUACGUUCCUGAGCCUUGUACACACCGCCCGU
rnacentral:rRNA from 1 species